AAGCGGGGAUAAGUAUAUUAGACGAGAAGACCCCAUGGAGCUUUAAACCCGACAGCACCCACUUAUUUAACACCUUCUUAUCCGCCUGGCCCCUGUCUGCUCGGUUUUGGGUUGGGGUGACCGCGGAGCAUAAAAUAGCCUCCACGAAAGAAGGGAUGAUUCCCUCAUUUUAGAACUACACUUCCAAAGACUAACAAAUUAAUUUUAAGUGAUCCGAUACCCGUAUUCGAUCAACGAACCAAGUUACCCUGGGGAUAACAGCGCAAUCUACCUCAAGAGCCCCUAUCGACAGGUGGGUUUACGACCUCGAUGUUGGAUCAGGGUAUCCCAGUGGUGCAGCAGCUACCAAAGGUUCGUUUGUUCAACGAUUAAAACCCU
rnacentral:rRNA from 1 species